rnacentral:piRNA from 1 species
UGGCCAAGAUGAAUGUGCCCUGUGGA